rfam:Clostridium difficile 630 complete genome
AAACUAAAUCGGCAAAACUAGAGAAAUCUAGUGACGCAAAGCUAUAGGGACUAAGACUUAUAUAAAUAUCUUAUGAGUUAUGUCAGCCAGUUGCCAAA